GCUUCCUUCUUGGCAAUCCUGUCUGAUCUCAGAGGAUAAGCAGCGUCUGGCUGGGUGAGUAUUUGGAUGGGGGACCACCUGAGCAUCCCAGACGCAGUAGGCA
rnacentral:rRNA from 1 species